UCCUCGAGAGUGUAACCACCUCCCCUCACUCCUCCUCCUGAGAUCCCCCAUUGGACCCUGGUUGUACCCUCCCCGGAGGAUUGGUGUGCACAGGUGUUUUGGGGGGCUCUCCUUGUUGGGUUAUCAAUGAAGGAAUUCAGGCUAGCCUGGGUUCCAAUCCUGUUGGUAUUUUUUGGAGUUAUCAAAUAAAGGGUUUGGCUGCUUGCCUUUUUAACAUCCACCAGGAGUCCAGACCCUGUGUUUGACAGUUAUUUUUGGGGGCUUGCCUGGGAUAUUCACGCCCAGAGGUGGUCUGGAGCAGCACAGAUUUGGGUGGCAUGCAUUUUCUUUUUUUUAUACCCCUGGACUACGUCGGGAUCACGGAAGGGUUGCUGAAUAGAACCUGAAGGCCAGCAGGAGUGACAACCCGGCAAGAAGGAACCCCCUCUCCAGGGAUCAACUCUGACCGAUCAACAGAUCCUAAGAAACAAAUAGAACAUUCCCUCACAUCUCUAGAGAUUGGGCCCUAAAAAGAGAAUUAACAAGUUGAUACAAAAAGGGAAUUUAAACUCCUGCAGCAAAGAAGCAAGGAAGUGACCGGAAAGGAGAAUAGAAAAGGGGAGGCAAGACCGAGCAAAGACAGUUUUGCCAUGAAUAUGGGUGGGAGAGUUAUCUGCAUCGGACUCCUAUGGAUAUUCCUCCUGUUGAUUCUCCAAGAAGGAGAAGGAAUUCUUUGCGACAAAUGCUAUUACCCCAUACACGCGGGAGAAUCUCAGACAGCCAUCCUCGGGAUCCAUACAAACCCGAGUCCCCGAUGUAUCAACUUUUGAAAAUUAACCACUUGUGAUGAGGAUGGUAAGAUUUAUUUGCUGUCCAAAAAUGUAGGUGGUUUUAAGCAAAAAUUGUUGGGGGAACGUCCUAUGAAAGAAAAAUGUUCGGAAAGAAAGCCAAAAGAAAGGGAUAAUGAAGAGGGCAAAAACUACAGGCCAGACUGGGUUAAGGAAAAAGAAAUAAAAGGGAUAAUCAAACAGGGUCCUGGAAUACUGACAUUGGGAGGGAAGAAUCUCUUCCUGGACUUAGCUGAGAGGAUAAGUUGGGAAUUCAAUAUCGCUAACUGCUGGAUUUGUGGAGACACCCAAAUGGCGGAGAUUUGGCCGUGGGAGGGGAUACCUCUAAUCCCGCAAAACUUGCUAAGGACAUUAGAACAAGGGAAGGCAGCUCCAGAUAGGAGGUCCUUGGAGGAAGUAUGGAGCUUAUGGUCUGAUGUCAUCGGAGAGGAAUGCAUUUGGAGGAAAGGACCUAGGUUUAAGUUUUAUGUAAGUGAGUUGCCAUGCAAAAGAUAUUUAGUAACCAAUGACACCAUAAAUGGUGGAUACCUCGGGCUCCUCAUUUGUACUGGUCCAAGGAGAAAGAACGGAGAUGCUCCUAUGUGGAAAGGGAAAAUUUAUAUGUGUGUGAAACUACAGAUCCAAAUCCAAACCCACUACGGGGGGACAAAAGAUUAGCCAAAUUUUGGCACCUUGUUGGAGCGAACACUAUAGAACCCCCAGGCUUCUGGAGGGCCCCAAUUAAUUUCUUUUGGAUUUGUGGGAGGUCAGCUUAUGUCUUGCUGCCUAAAGACUGGGCGGGAAGUUGCACACUUGGAAUUAUUAAACCUUCCUUUUUCCUUCUUCCCCGACUAGAGGGACGGCAUUUGGGGGUUCCAUUAUAUGACGAACUGAAAAGAAAAAGAAGAGAGGUGUUAAUUGGGGGAGCCCAAAAAUGGGGAGAUGACGAGUGGCCACCAGAACGAAUUAUAGCAACCUAUGGCCCAGCUACCUGGGCGCAAGACGGAUCAUGGGGAUACAGAACCCCAAUAUACAUGCUAAACAGACUGAUACAGUUACAAGCAGUGGUAGAGAUUAUCUCCAAUCAGUCCAGUCUAGCCGUUGAUUUACUGUCUGCACAAGCCCAACAAAUGAGGACCAUGAUCUGUCGAAAUCGGUUAGCACUGUAUUACCUACUGGCAGAAGAGGGAGACAUGUCUGAGAAGUUCAACUCCUCCAAGUGUUGCGUCGAGAUAGAUGACCAUAGUGAGGUUCAGAGCAAGACUGUGGCACAGUGUGUAGAGUACUACUACACCUGGAAAAAAGAACAUAAACUUGCCAAAAGUCUUGCUCAGGUGAGUGGGAAGAAAACCAAGGCAAGCCCGGAGGGUGGAGAAACUGGGAGAAGGGGACAAAACCUGCUGGCAAGCCUGUGAGGCACUGCUCUGCCAGGAUCACAUUGUGCCAUCCACUGGAAAGGCGCAGCAGAUGCUGCCCAGGCCUUCAUCAUCAAACAUCAAAACAUCAAAACAUCAGUAAUCCCGGCUGCGCACGUGGAGAUUCUGCAGAUGUUCAGACUGUGAGCGAACCAAAGAGGAGCCAAAGCCCUCCCAGAAAGGAGGACGGGAAGACAGGGAAGAGAAGCCGCAAGAGGGCCCGCAACGCGGAGUGUCCCUGCUGCCAAGCGCCCCAGACACCCCAUUCGGCGGGAGGUCCCUUUCCCUGCGGCCAGUGCAAACGAGUGUUUGAAACCGUGCAGGAAAGGAACACACAUAGGAGAGGACUUCACCCACGGAAGGAAGAAGGGCCUCUCCCCAAGAAGAAAAGACCAAAUUAACCCUGCCGCUUGUCCGGGCCUAACAAGAAUUAUCUGUCACAUGGAUCUAGAUAGAAAUAAGACUGGUUUUUAAGUUCUUUAUUAGGAUGGUUUAUUCUUCUAUUUAGUCGACUAGGUAGACAUUUCUCAAUUUGUUACUUCAGAUUCAUUAACUUUCUUAAAGGUUUAUUAGGAUUAUUAGAUUAUUAUUAUGAUUAGAUUAUUUGACUAUUAGAUUAGUAGGUUAUUAGAUUAUUAUAGUUAGAUUAUUAGAUUCGAUUUUUAGCAACAUUUCUCAAUUUGUUAGUUGAGAUUCAUUCGCAUUCUUAAAGAUUUAUUAGGAUUAUUAGAUUAUUACGAUGA